rnacentral:rRNA from 2 species
UACGUAGGGUGCAAGCGUUGUCCGGAAUUAUUGGGCGUAAAGAGCUCGUAGGCGGCUUGUCACGUCGGGUGUGAAAACUCGGGGCUCAACCCCGAGCCUGCAUCCGAUACGGGCUAGCUAGAGUUCGGCAGGGGAGACUGGAAUUCCUGGUGUAGCGGUGAAAUGCGCAGAUAUCAGGAGGAACACCGGUGGCGAAGGCGGGUCUCUGGGCCGAUACUGACGCUGAGGAGCGAAAGCGUGGGGAGCAAACAGG